CAAAAUUAUUAAAUCGUGAAUGGCGCUGAAAGAGUAUGUAUGCAAAAUCCUGACCCAAUAAACGGCAGAAUUGCAGAAGUUAUGCAAGAAACUGUUGAUAACUGGUUCCAUAUCCUAAUGGCGGAUGGAAAGAAUGGCUAUUUAUAGACUGUGGUGACUGUACCAGUGUUCUUGUCGUCUGGUGACAUAAUCUUUGUUACCAACAAUAGAUAUAUUAUUUUCUCAGCACUAGGAUCAAACUUGGGACAAGAUGUUUCCUCAACGUAAAAGGGAAGGACAGGUCGUACCACCAGUACCGUCCAAAAAACUGAGGACUGGGGAAAAUAGCAACCGAAGAGAGGGGCGUGUUGAUCCCAUCUGUGUCCUUCAGACGUACAUUGUCGGGAUUCAGCAUUUUGAUGGAGAGAUAUUCUUUAUCAUGUUUAUGGAUUAGGCCAAGGAAAAUUAAUUUUGUGGUUACUGCUUCAUUUACAAUGUUUGUAACAAAGAGGUAUCCCAUGUUUAUAAUUUCAGACAUGCAUUCUGAUAUGUUGUAUAAAAUAUUAAGCAAUGGUUUGAUAAUGAGAAGAAGUGUAAUGUUGCACUUUAAUGAAAAUGUGCAAAACCUGCAUUCAAUUGGUAUAGCUGUUUUUAAGUGAGCUUUUCUUAUCGAAAUUUGUCUGGUGUCUUUUGUCGUUUGAAGACGGCGUUAACUUUUCACAUUUUCAUCUUCUCCAGAAUCACUGGAACAAUUUCAAUCAAACUUGGCACAAAUCAUACUUAGGUAAAGGGGAUAUAAAUCGGUUCAAAUCAAGGGUUAUUUGAACGGUAUUGAACCCAAACAGAUAUUCUUUAACCGUUACACUGGAGAAGGGUCUGACAGCAUUGCGUUUGAGGUCAUGUUAUUUCACCUAUCACACUUGACCAAUCAAAUGACGACUUUCACUAGCAUGAAAAUCAGAACAUACUUGGUAUAAUUAUCAUACGCAUGCAGUCUUCGACUUUAACCGGUGGCCCGAUGCCCGAGGCCAGUAAAAUCGGGAUCGGGCUUCUAAAAAUAUUUAACCCAGGAGUCCGGUGGGCCUGUAAAUGUUUUAUUGUAUGUUUUGUAUAUAUUACAAAUAAAGCGUGAGAUUGACUCUGGCUUUGUCAGAAUCAUCGAAAAACGAUCAACCAUGCUGCUUUUUCUGAAGUAUUGUAGGGAGGCAAGGGCACUGGAAGUUAAUGUAAAUAUAUAGUAUGUGCACGUAUAAAAAAUACAUGCACAUACUAUAUAUUUACAUUAACUUCCAGUGUCUGUGUAGGGAGGGGGCUCGUCCGUGAAAUUCCAGACCUCACAAGCGUAUUUCGUAAACACAACCAUCAGAUCCAAAUUAAAAAAAAAACGGUCGUACAAGGAGAAAAGAGAAUGAAAAUUCAUGCCCCAUUUGACCGAGGGUGGGCCUUUACUAAGAUUUAAUUCUGGAGAAAACAAAAUAUUUUGUACGUGGUGUUUACAAAACAAAGUAGAACAUGAGCUGCUGAUGUAUCUUCGAG